UCUUCAUCUACCUGCUGCUCGCUCCGGUCCCCGGUACUGAUUGGCCGUCUGACCGAAAUCCUCUUGAAUGAUUUCAAACCCUUGUGUUUGGACAGGAAGGAGGGGGGGCUCCGUCCACCGACACACCGACACAGUAAAGAAGCUUAGACCCGGCCGAGGAGCGCUGCUGACGGGAGACGCGUCCACAGAGUCGCCGGUGAAAAGUGACGGUGUCGUGUUUACGCACAUUUUCUCUCCACUUUGGCUCAUGUGACGUGAUAUUUAAAUUUACUGGGUUUCAUUGAGGCGUGUGAAUGGAGCGAUGUCCGGUGGAGACGGCGCACAUUGCGAUGGGACGCGCUGUGUUGUGUUGACGGGACCUGAUUGAUAAUCACCGGGGAUCGAUAUUUAAAAUCAUGCGCGCGUGUUAUUGGUGAAAUGUGAGUAUGUGCAGUUGUUUGUGAAAUUCAUGCGGGAUUGUGCUGUAACAGAUUAGUGAGGGCAGGCGGUUCAUGCUCGGGUUGUUGCCAUAGCAUCACAUUAAUAUUUUCUUUUUCAUCACCGGCCUGUUGAAGCGGAGCGCGCGCACAGACUUUCAUAUUGUGGACGAUGUGUUUCAACACCAUCCCGCAGCUCAGGCUUGGAUAGGUUAGUUGUGACAGUUGAUCUGAAGACACCGUUCACACGAGCUGAUCCUGACAGGCGACUCAGCCAUGGCGAAGAAUCCGUCCGAGGGAGCGAAGGAGGAUGUGAGCCAGCUGACGGACGAGGAGAUGCUGCGGUGCAGCAAAGAGGAGCUGAUCCGGAGACUGAGGAGGGUCGACAGCGAGAAGAUGAACUUGAUGAUCGAGCACGGAAACAUGAUGAAAGACAUCAACCGGCGGCUGCAGGUGCACCUGCACGAGAUCCGGAGCCUGAAGGAGAUCAACCAGAAGCUGCAGGACGACAACCACGAGCUGCGGGAGCUCUGCUGCUUCCUGGACGAUGACCGACAGAAGGGCAAGAAGCUGUCCCGGGAGUGGCAGCGCUUCGGCCGCUACACCGCCAGCGCCAUGUGGAAGGAGGUGGGCACCUACAUGAUGAAGCUGAAGGAGCUGGAGGCCAACCAGGACACCGUGCUGAGGGAGAACUCUGAGCUCAAGGAGAUCAUCCUCAUGCUGGACGAGGAGAGGAACGGAGCCGGGUCCAGGAGCUCCAUAGACAGUCAGUCCAGUUUAACCAACCUGAACGGGGGCACCGGCACCGUCAGGGAUGUUGGGGACGGGAGUAGCACGUCCAGCACAGGUAGCGCCGGAAGUCCAGAUCACCACAACCACAACCACAACCACAUACACAAGCCCGCCUCGGAGAACAGUAAGCUGGGCACCACCAUGAGGAGGUCCAUGGAUGACCUGUCAGCACCGCACCAUCACAGGAGCAUCCCCAAUGGACUCAAUGAUUCCUCCUCCAACUACAUCAGGCAGCUGGAGACUAAAGUGCGGAUCCUGGAGGACGAUAACAAUAAGCUGCUCUCACAGGCUUAUAGCCGCUAUAGUUUAUCACAGAUUCAGACGAAGAAGCAGUAUAACCCAGGUGACCUUCGUGCCCUGAGGAAGGGAAUGACCCUCUACCACUCAGAGUCCCAGCUGUCCUCACUGCCGCAACGCCAGGACGCCAUGCACAUGAAUUCAAGCACUUCAAGGACCUUGUGUAAACCCUUACAGAGGGAUACCUACUCAUACUUCACCACUGAAACAGUCAAAGAUCAACACUGUGACACUGCUUAUACAGACGUGGUUACGCAUAGAGACGGGGUUUAAUCACACACACUUAAUUGCAGGGAAGACUUUGCCGGUGCCUCCACAGUGGAAUCAAGUCACUUUUAACUCUCCAAUUAAACCUCCACGGGCCACCUCACCCUCUUACACAUGACAGGAAGUGGAACACACACACAUAGGCAGGAAGAAAGGAUAGUGAAAGGAGGUAGGGCUUGAGUGGGAUGAGACAGAGGAGAGGAAGAGGAGAAACUAAGACAGCGAGACAGGAACGAAUAAAGAAGAGCCAGCCUUCCCUCCUCUUCCUCCCAUAUCCUGUCCCUCCCUUCCUUCUCCCUGGAGCCUGUUUGAACUGAAUCCCACUGUGAAAGUAAUAAUCCUCUCCAAUCCAGCGCCACCCCUGACCCAGCCAGUGUCUGGGGAGGAGAGGCUGGGGUAAUUGUUUUCUGACUGCUUAAGGAAGGUCAGAGCCGGGCGAUGCCACUGACCAGAGGACUAAAUCUUCCCCAUGUAAAAAUCAAUAUUGUGUUUUAAUCACAGGCCCAGUGUGAGGUCGCAGGCUGACUGCGCUCGGAGCCGGCUCGCACCUUUUAAGCCCGCGGGUCAAACCCGCCUCCUCUGUGGAUGUUCGUGUCGUGCAAUAAUGUCCAUGAAACCUUGACCCCACGUGAGGUCUCUCGGGACGAUGGAUUUAAACUGCAAAUUAUCUUGACGGUUGUCUCACAGCGUUUAAUUUCACAGUGAAACAAGGUCAUGAUUGUGACUUGAGGUGAGAAUUUUAACUCCUCACUGACAUGACAUCUGAUGUCAGUCUGUGAGACUGGAAGGUAGAAGUGGAUUUGUGUGACUACCUGUAGUUACAUUCAGUCAGGAUCUGGUUGCAUCAGCUCGUUCAAACUUAGCUGUGAUGUAGCCUCUUUCCGACUGGACAAUAAAACCUACUAACAUCUGACUUUUGUCUUUAGAGACAAAAGAAGUUGGUAACUUCUGUGACUCCUGUGGCUCUGUUUAUACCUGGUACAAACAUUUGUCUUGGGUGAUCCCAUAGACUGUAUAAAAACAAUGGACUGCACGACAGCUCCCCAAAAAGUGAAGCCUAAACAUCUUGAUAGCCCCCUGGUGGCUGUCAUAAACCCUGCCCCCUCCAUGUUAGCAGAUCUUAGCCAAACUAAAAACUCACAGAACCCCUCAAAUAAAUAUUUCCCAAACAUAGUUUCUAUCAUUUUAAGUAGCUCUUAUCACGCAAGUGUUUGUUACUCUGAUAAGUUUGGUUUCAAUCAGUUAUGUAAUCCUAUAAAAAGAGGAUUCAACGUCAUGGUCAGGGGUGUGCCAUAUCAUCUUGUUCAUGAUAAUACCUGUAUAAUUUUUUAAUAUGAUACAAAAAGUUCAUAUCAUGAUACUCGCAGUAUUUGGACUUGCUGACAUUGACUUCAAAUCACCUGUUGAUUUAUAUAUAUAGAUCUCAGGGGACAUUUUUUGUAUCUGGGAGCUGUUUAAAUGUGUAAUUUGUGGUAGAUUUUAUUUACUUGAACUAUUAAUAUUGUAUACAGAAUCUGAAUCUUACUCUGAGUUGCUGUUGUUGGUCAGAAAGGCCCUGCCCUUCCAUGUAGACGCAUGGAAGGGCAGGGAAUUUUGCUCUCUCAACCACAGGCUUUCCCCGUUUGUGCGUGAAAGGCCCCAGAACAGAGCCAUACCACCAAAUAUUACACUGCAAAUGGACAUAGUUUUCUUUGACUAAAGUGUUCCUGACUGAACUGACUAACUGAUAUGUUAUAUCUUGUUUGUUCAAACAAACAAAAACCAGUGUAAAAAAACAACAAACAGAGAUUUUACGGGGGGUUGCAGCAGCUUACAGCAGGAUACUAGUGAAUCAGUUGCAUGCAGCACAGAAUAACUUAUUCUUUUAAAUCAUGUCUUCUUCUUAUGAUGGCUUUGUUGGCAUGACGACUGCACGAAGACGCACUCAUGUUGAGCUAUAUGGCGAUCGAUUGCCUGCUCUCUAACACGGCCCAAGUUCACCCACUUGAAAGAGAAGAUGAGAGAUGUGGGGCCGAAGACUAUACCAGCAGUGAACUGGACUCUUCGUUGUGUCCUGAUCUAUCAGCUCAGCCUUUAUGUUACGUCCUUUGUCUCGUUCAGGCCCAGUUUCAGGUCAGCGAGUGUGCGUGAGAUUGUCGGAUAGAAAACCAGCAAGAAAGAAGAGAAGGAAAGACGGAUGGAGAAAGGAAGCGUCCAGCCUGCGUGAUCCUCACAAACAUCCAACAGUCGGCUCUGAUUCUAUGUGCUCAAACUACAAACCAUUGAUUCUGACAGCGUUUGUUUCCCUCCCUUCAUCCUGCGAGGCCUAAAUCAGGCCUGUUUAUGCAGGCGAGCCUCCCCGACUGUACAUCCAUAUGAACAGUAAACAUUGCCCGGAGCUGGCUGUGUCUCUGCGCUGUCCAAAUCUGUUUCCUUACUGCACGGCUCCAGUGCAGAAUAAACAAAAAGGAAAAAAACACUGGCCUCGAUGCUGGCAGGAAGUGUUUACACAUUUCAAAUAAUGGCUUUAACCCACAGAACAGAGCAUCAAAAGGAGGCGACAGUGAUUUACAUAUUUUUUCUUGUAGUUGACUUCAAAGUGAACCUCAGACGAGCUGUAUGGAAAAAUGAAGCUAUUUGUUUUGUUCCUGUGACCUUAAACAAGAAGAAACACUUUACUCAGUGGGAAAUGUGUUUGUGUUUAACAAGAGGACGGUUAUAUAUCAUCUUCUCAUAAAUAUGCACUUAACCUUGGUGACGAAUUUAAUAAUAUGAGGGUGUCGUUCAGUAAAUAUCUCCCACCCUGCACAUCACUAAAUCAAAAUACUGUUCCUUGUUACAUUCCAACACUGCAUAGUGCAGACAGUCAGAAAUUAUUAGGUCCAAACACUUACAGUAAAUGUCUGGUCAACUUUGUAAUCCUGUUUUACAUUCUCUGAUUCCAGCUUCUUACUGUACUUCUUUUAAAUUUGAUUGUUUUUAAUUAAAUUUUUUUAUUCCUCUAUGACAGUGAACUACCUCACUGCACUAUUUUGAGAGACCUGUUAACCAGACCCAUAUCAGAUGUAGAUUUUCACCAGGUUACAUGUGUGCGCCGAUUUUUGUUGAGAUUUUGAGCACCUUAAGGCCCUCAAAAUGCAAUUCUUAAAAAUAACAAUAAUAAUGAUAAUCAUAAUUGAAGCUGCAAGCAGCAAUGAACGGGCCCUCGCACUGAUGUGCAACUUGGGGGUGCUGGCAGGAUGCCGGCUGACGCGGCAGUUAAUUUCUGCAAAAGUCAGACACUGCAUGCAGGAGUGAGAUGGCAUAUCCUUGAUACAGUGAUGGAAUAACCUAUUUCACAUUUUGUACCACUUCCUCUAUCCACUAUUGGGUGCUGGAGAAGGCGCUAAUGAUACAUCAUGUUUUUGUACAUCAAAUUUAGAUCACGGCAUUCAAUUCUGGUAAAUCAAAAGAUAAGUAUCUGAAAAGAUGUACUUCCUGUCGCCACUAGGAGGGACUAUAAGGGAAUAUGGUCUCAUGGAUGCUCCACAGCGGUCGUGCCCUUCAACGUCAGGUAUAUCUUGUAGCAAUUUUUGAUCACAAAGUAGUUAAGCUCACACAAACCAACUUUGAAGGCAAUCCGAUGAAAUCUGUAGGAGGAGUUUGUUAAAUUACAACACGUGGGCCGAAAAUGACCACGGAAUUCAAAAUGGCCGACUUCCUGUUGGGUUUCGGGAAAGGGUCCAAGAGGCUUUUUUGUGCAUUUGGGCACGAUACAUGUCUGUACCAAUUUUCGUGCAUGUCGGUGAAACAUGCCGCAGGGGCUGCUCUUUAAAAGGCGUGGCCAUGCUAUUUUUCCCCACCCGCUGAAGAAAGCCAUAUCACACGUAAAUUUACACAGUGACUGAUGCGCACAGAAAAAUUGGCUCGUUUUUGAGUAUGUUAAAAAAAAAAAAAAAAAAGCCAAUUUACUUCUAGAAAAAAAUAAUUAUAUUCCUUCAGUUUCAAGAGGGUCCUCGUACCGCAUGGUGCUCGGGCCCUAAUAAUCAUUAGCUGCAGCCCUGUUAUGUAGACGUUCUGUGAUGACACUUGACAUUUUAGAAGUUUGGCUUCUUUUGUUAAGUGAAAUAAAGGUUUUGUUUGAAAAUAUUUAUAUUUUACAUUUCAUUUUACAAAUCAAAUGACAGUAAGUAAUAUUUUGAAAGCUCAUGUUGGUACAUUCAAAGGACACUCAGACUUUUGAGCGUGCUGUGGAGCAGCAGCCUUCUUUAAUACAAUAAACCAGAUUCAUCUUAACCUUUACAUUUUGUCAUUAUUAUCUGGUAUCAAAACUCAUGAAUGAAAUGCGUUAAGGCAGGCGAGUCUUAUCUCCAUAACGUGUGUGUGGAUCAAAUCCUACCUGAAAACAAAAGGGCAAACCACGGCCAUGUUUGUUUUUUCUCUCACAUUGAUGACCUUUUACCGUCUGAGCAAAUAAAUAAACGUCAUAAAAUCAUCACUGUACGUUCAGAACAAACAGUUGUCAGUCCGUAACCUGCAGGACCAGUUAAAAAAUCUAUUUUUCAUGUGGUUGACGUGAUCUGAAUCGACCAUUGGCCAGUGUCCACAAAACAUCCCUGUUGGCUUCAGCGGGAUUAUUAUUUUAUCUCUGUGCUAUUAGGUUGUGUGGGCUCGUUCUGGCACCUAAAUGGGGCCAGCGGGUGCGGAGGGAGCUGACAAACGCAUCAGCAGUGAGCGGAGAAUUGAACCCGGGCUAACAGAGCCACGGAGCUGUGUCUAAUGCAGGGCCCCGAUGCCAGGUUACAGUGAAUGGUGCCAUUGUGUGUCCCAGAGAUCUCUGUGUCCCUCUAACAGAGAGCCACUGUCUGGAACUAACCGGGGGGUAGGAUGAGUCAAGCAACCCCCGUGGUCCUCUUCCUGGCUGGCUGCUCCCAUCACAGCAGGUUAAAUCACACUGUGCAGGUAGCAGACCUGGCUGGGAGUUGAGUACGAGGUGAAUGCAAAGAGGGGGAAGAAGAACACAAGGGGAGGAGAGGUGAUGUGAGUCGGGAUGAAAGCGAUGGCAUUUUCAGUGCUACAGUACAAGAAAUCCCUCGUGUUAAAUCAGACCCAAACACCAGCUGAUCAGGAGAGAGUGCUUUACUUCCUGUUAGUUCUCUGUUGUCUUGGCUCAGGUUAGGACCUCGGUGAGGUGGUGCUCAUUUGACUCCUGGGUUUGACCCUGUGUGACAGCAGACGUGACGAGAUCAGAGUCUGACAUGUCUGCCAGAUAUUGUGGGUUUAGUCCUUUGUCGCAGGUCACCCCUUCCUCUCAUCUUUGCUCUUCUCUGUGCUCCAUCCACUGUAGAAAAUAACCUGACAUCAUUUCUUUUAUACUUCCUCUGCUCCCUGCAGGGUACCGGCCGUCUCCCGACCAGCGAGUCCUCUCCUGCCACAGGCUACCUGUCCUGCGUCCAGAAGCCUGAGGCCGUGGUGCACGCCAUGAAGGUGCUGGAGGUCCAUGAGAACUUGGACAAGCAGGCUCCUGAGGAGUACGAGGACG